AGAGUUUGAUCAUGGCUCAGGAUGAACGCUGGCGGCGUGCUUAACACAUGCAAGUCGAACGGAGCUAUGACACGGAGUCUUCGGAUGAAGUGCUAUUGCUUAGUGGCGGACGGGUGAGUAACACGUGAGCAACCUACCUUUUGCAGGGGAAUAACUCUGGGAAACCAGAGCUAAUACCGCAUGCCGUGCGCUUGGGGCAUCCCAGGUGCAUGAAAGGAGCAAUCCGGCAGAAGAUGGGCUCGCGUCCGAUUAGGUAGUUGGAGAGGUAAUGGCUCCCCAAGCCGACGAUCGGUAGCCGGACUGAGAGGUCGAUCGGCCACAUUGGGACUGAGACACGGCCCAGACUCCUACGGGAGGCAGCAGUGGGGAAUAUUGGGCAAUGGGCGGAAGCCUGACCCAGCGACGCCGCGUGAAGGAGGAAGGCUUUCGAGUUGUAAACUUCUUUGGGGAGGGACGAAGAUGACGGUACCUCCAGAACAAGCCACGGCUAACUACGUGCCAGCAGCCGCGGUAAUACGUAGGUGGCGAGCGUUAUCCGGAUUUACUGGGUGUAAAGGGCGCGCAGGCGGCCCUGGAAGUCAGAUGUGAAAGAUCAAGGCUUAACUUUGACAGGUCAUCUGAAACUUUGGGGCUUGAGUAUCAGAGGGGAAAGUGGAAUUCCUAGUGGAGCGGUAAAAUGCACAGAGAUUAGGAGGAACACCGGUGGCGAAGGCGACUUUCUGGCUGACAACUGACGCUGAGGCGCGAAAGCGUGGGGAGCAAACAGGAUUAGAUACCCUGGUAGUCCACGCCGUAAACGAUGAUUGCUAGGUGUGGGGGGACUGAUCCCUUCCGUGCCGGAGUUAACACAAUAAGCAAUCCACCUGGGGAGUACGACCGCAAGGUUGAAACUCAAAGGAAUUGACGG
rnacentral:rRNA from 1 species